GUGCACUUAGCUCAGUUGGUAAGAGCUUCAGUCUUGAAGCAGAGGUCCCAGGUUCAAUACCUGGAGUGCACA
rnacentral:tRNA from 1 species